rnacentral:rRNA from 1 species
GAUCUGUGUAGGAUAGGUGGGAGGCUUUGAAGCGGUGCCGCUAGGUGUCGUGGAGCCAACCUUGAAAUACCACCCUGAUCUGUUUGAGGUUCUAACCUUGGCCUGUUAUCCAGGUCGGGGACAGUGCAUGGUAGGCAGUUUGACUGGGGCGGUCUCCUCCUAAAGGGUAACGGAGGAGUUCGAAGGUACGCUUGGUACGGUCGGAAAUCGUGCCUAAAGUGCAAUGGCAAAAGCGUGCUUGACUGCGAGACCGACAAGUCGAGCAGGUGCGAAAGCAGGACAUAGUGAUCCGGUGGUUCUGUAUGGAAGGGCCAUCGCUCAACGGAUAAAAGGUACUCCGGGGAUAACAGGCUUAUCUCCCCCAAGAGUUCACAUCGACGGGGAGGUUUG